CUCGCCAAGUUGCUGCCUCCGCGCUCGGCGCCCGCCGCGGGGGGAACGGCGUAGAGAGGCCGCGGGGCUGCGCGGGGCGAACCGAACCCCGCCCGCCCCAGCCGUCGGGGCGGGGCGGGGGCGGCGGAGAUGAAAGGCGCCGCCGCCGUGAGUGACAUCGGGGAGGAGGGGGGGCGGCAGGGAAGGGGCCGGGCCGGGCCCCGGGAAAGUUUGCCGAGGCGGCCGCCGCGUGGGUACGCUCGUGCGGGGCCGGGAGCGUUGCGGGGCCGGGAGCGCUGCGGGAGCGGUGCCCCUCUCCUCCCCGUUGGGAGCGAACACGCGUUCGAAAGAUUUUGUCGAUAACCAAAAAAAUUAAAGGCAAAAUCCAAACAAAAGCAUCCGACGCGCUCGCUCGGGAAACAUCGGAGCGACGCCGCUCGUUGCGUUCGGUGCGGGGCAUCCUCCGGACCACCGCUCCUCGCCAUCCCGGCCCCGUCGCCGGGGCUCCCCGGGCCCUUCCCGUGCCUGGUUUUUCUGCGCACCCAGAAUUGCGUUAUAGCAGAAUGUCGUGGGGUUUUGGUUGCUUUCUUUUAUUUUUUUCUUUUCCAUUCUCGCGCGCCUUUUUAGCUUCGUUUGGCCGUUUCAGCAGUUGGGAUGUUUCAUCAUUAGUACUUUUGUGAUGAUUAUUUUACGAUUAUUUUAUUUUGCGGCCCCGACGGCCGACCCCGCUCUACCCCAGCCCCACCGCCGGGGAAGGAGGGGAGUCAGAACGCAGCCGUCAGUCCCCACUCACAAACCCCCCCCGGUUGCGUGCGGAGCGGCGCCCCCUAUAUAGGGGAGGGCGGGAGCGGGGCGGGGCGGCGGCGCUUUGAUGUCCCGCCGGCGGCCCCUUUCAUCCCCCCCCCGUCGGCCCCCCCGGGCCCUUUGUGCGCCUAAAUUUGGCAGGAGCAUGGAGGCGCGCCAGGGCGCCCACGUGUGCGCCGAGCUCCCAGCUGAGCCGGCCCCGGGUUUUCUUCCGGGUAAGGAGACAGCGGGGGAGAUCAAAGAGUUUGGGGAGCCGAAGCCGAAAUGUGCAUGGAAAUAGGGGGAAAUCAUCGCCGUCGUCGUAAUAAAAAUAAGACCCAAAAAAAUCCUGCCGCCUGGACGCGUGCCAGCCCGGAGCCACGGGGGAAAGCAGCGCGCGUGGUGGGGAGGGAGAGGAGGGAUGGAGCGGGUUUUCUCCGAGAGGAAAAAAUGAAAUGAAAUGAAAUGAAAUGAAAUAAAAUAAAAUAAAAUAAAAUAAAAUAAAAUAAAAU
rnacentral:lncRNA from 1 species